GAUGAACGCUGACAGAAUGCUUAACACAUGCAAGUCAACUGUGGCGGACGGGUGAGUAACGCGUAAAGAACUUGCCUCACGGAUAGGGACAACAUUUGGAAACGAAUGCUAAUACCUGAUACUGUGAGUGAGCUUUGCGUCGCAUUAGCUAGUUGGAGAGGUAACGGCUCACCAAGGCGAUGAUGGGUAGCCGGGCUGAGAGGGUGGUCGGCAACAAGGGGACUGAGACACGGCCCUUACACCUACGGGAGGCAGCAGUGGGGAUUAUUGGACAAUGGAGCAAAGUGUGAGCCAGGAAUUCUGUGUGCACGAUGAAGUUUUCGGAAUGUAAAGUGUUUUCAGUUGGGAAGCGGUACCAACAGAAGAAGGGACGGCUAAAUACGUGCCAGCCGCCGCGGUAAUUC
rnacentral:rRNA from 1 species